GCCAGUACAACCAGCUAGCAGCAAGCUUGAGUCGUGAGCCAAGGCGUGCACGUUCGAGGACGAGCAUAAGGCGGGGUUAUAGGGCUGAGCACAGGGGCCAAGCCGCUGCAAGUAACGGGACUUUUGUCUUGUCGCUAGCUAGGAUCUAAUACACGGGAAUAGAAAAUUUUUGAAGGAUGAGACUACUUAGCCUUCUCUUUGUUCUAUUUUCCAAGAUAUAAUUAUGCUUGCACUACUUUUAGUCAAAACAUGAGCAUAACACCUGUGCUUAUUGGGUCCCAAAGCACAAGCUAGAAUCCUUCUCCUCUACAAUCUUGACUUCCUUGUUAAUUUGCAUUACUACUACCCAAACAACAAUUUUCCAUGACCUUUAUGUACAUGGCAACUAGCCAACAAAAGUCUAUCUUUACUCCAUGCAAUACUUGGGAUGCAAUUCUAUCUUUCAUUGGGUUAUUUGAUCGACCCAACUCAUUCAGAUGGACUAAUCCGAAUUUCAAGGUAGGGGAGUAGAAUAAAAAUUAGGUAGCUAGCUGACCCACUACUACAAACUAGUUUCAUCCCUUGCAUCUCUAACGCAUAUACAUGCAUGGUCAAUGCUUUACAAGAACUUUAAUGCAUGCAUCACUUGACUUGAUGCAUGUCGGUUUAGUUAUUGACUAUGCUUGUACUACUCUAACAUGGAUAGAACCUUGUUGACUUCCUAAAAGAUGACCACAACCUUGACUUCCUGAACAUACCAAGAACCAUGACCGGGCUAAGCCACAGCAUGCAGCGUACCAUGGGCCACGGGUGAGCUACGGGACCAGGCUCUCCGGUGCUUGAUGGCAUAGCGAACGAUCGGCAAUGGCGUCGCCAUCCAUCAUGUGUAUCCGUCCUUCAGUGAGUACCUAUACAGAAUCCGUAUCGCGAGCCAUGUUCUAUCCGUCCUAAUUGUAACAUCGAUAAAUGUAAUUAGCAAGCCCACGCAUUAUACGGGAUCAUCUAUGUUUUUACACUUUUUUUGACACAUUUAUUUAUUACAGUCUAAAUCCAAUACUUAAUAAAGUGCAUGAUAAUCAAUACAAAAUUUUGUGCGAGCCUGCACCAAUAAAAAAUAUGUGUGAGCCCUUAUUAAGAUGUGCUCAUCACCCUAUUCUCACAGGUUUUCACAAUCAUUAAAUUAUGUGUCACCUCAGAAUAUAUAGUGACACGAUAAAAAAAUUAUAUGGAGAUAGAACAGUUCAUCUUGAUGAAACUGGGUGUAUACUAUUGCCAAGGAUAUAAAAUGUGUUGAAAACUGAAUCGUCACAGAAAGUCAUAUGUGGUGUAUUGGAUGGAUUGUGCUAUAUGGGUGGUCGAGUAUUUGACUACGGUGUUGUUGUGCCUAGUGCCAUUUGGAGGAGUCCUUUUAUGGAGCCAUGUUGUUGUUGCCUCAAAUUCUUCUACUUUUACCCGCCAACCAUGUGCUGCGUGUAAAAAAAAAAAGUAAACGCAUCAUGUGUUGGU
rnacentral:lncRNA from 1 species